rfam:Monosiga brevicollis MX1 MONBRscaffold_38 genomic scaffold, whole genome shotgun sequence.
UCUCCGAUAGUAUAGUGGCUAGUAUCCCUGCCUGUCACGCAGGAGACCUGGGUUCGAUUCCCAGUCGGAGAG